rnacentral:sRNA from 1 species
UCCCUCCAAAAGCUACAUGCUUUGUAGAAGAAGAAGACCUUCACCCAUUACAGGAGGGUCUAUCUUCCAUCAAAGAUAUAUGAAUAGCUGUGCUCCCCUGCUAGAAUUCCAAACAGGCUCUUAAAGUUUUCUAUGAGAAUGCUCAUUAAUU